rnacentral:lncRNA from 1 species
CUAUAUUUUUGGGGAUCAAUUAAGUAAUCUGUCUUCUAUCGACUCUGUUUUGGAUCUCUUGAAUCAGCUUGAAUUUAGAUACUGAAUGACCAGUAAUAUCAACAAGUAAACAGUUGGUGACAUAAAAAAACUACUAUAUAUUUACAAUUCAAAUAGAGAGGACAUGUACAAUUUUUGAACUGAAAACAAAUUAAAAGUAUAAGGAAUAGAAUUCAGAAUGUGAAUACUUUUAAACUGUAGCCAUAGAUUUGUAAGGUAAGGGAGAUAACAAUGAGCUAUUAUCUCCCUUUGUUUCUUGAUUGUUAAAGGUUUUUUUUAAAUAUAUAUUGUUAAGGCAGAUGUUAUUUAUAAGUUACAUUACAAUGUACAUAUAUUGUUAAACUUUUUGAGAUAUAUUUAUGUUGUACUUGGCAUUUUUAAAUGUAUUGAUUAAGUCUUCCAUAACUAAAUGUUAAUGAAAUCAAAAACCGUCUUCAGAUAGAAACAAUGAAUAGGCCAAAUAAAAUUAUAAACAAGGUUCAAACUACCUAAAAACAUCCGUUACUUUUUGGAAGUUAGCACUUUAAGUUCACAAGAUGAAAUUUGUAUAUUUGAUGGUAUUUCAAAUAAUGAAUUUAAAAAAAAUAAUAAUUUUCUAUAACCCUUUAUUUCAGUAAUGUAUAAAAUACACCUCACAUUUGAUUUUAUUGGGCCAUACUCUUUCUUAUAGGUAAUAAACAACAGAUUGCAUGUAAGUUAUUGUUGUCAUUUGCUUGAUUAUAUUUAUUAUACUUCUGAAAUGUUCUUGAUAUAAAAUGGCAAAUGUUUUUUUUCUGUUUUUUAAAACUCUUUCACCAAUAACAGGUCAUAUAGAAUUUACAUUGUGAUGUUUCCAUGGCAACGACCAGGGAUUACUUUAUAUUACUUAUAAUAAAAAAAUUCUAUUUAUUUAGAUCUUUAUUUACUUUUUAAAAUUUUUAAAUGAUUUUUCCAAGUUCUUUGGUUUUUUUUAUACCACGCACAGCAAUGUAAAUAAAAUUUUCUUUUAAAAACUGUACUGGUCCAGUAAAUAUACUCCUUAAAAAAGGAUGGAAAUAUAUUUAGAGGGAUAUCUAACAACAUAAAAGUAAGACAGACAAUUUAAUGGCAGUAAGAAGGUAAAAGGCAAACAGACAACAACAGUCAAUGAUAAACACUAAGGCAACCAACAACAGUCCACAUACAACACUAUGGUGGCAAAUGGCAAACAACAACAGUCCACAUACAACACUAUGGUGGCAAAUGGCAAACAACAACAGUCCACAGACAACACUAUGGUGGCAAAUGGCAAACAACAACAGUCCACAGACAACACUAUGGUGGCAAAUGGCA